rnacentral:piRNA from 1 species
UCGUCCAGAUGAAAUGAGGG